CCGCAGGGGCUCUAAAGGCAGCCCCAGGUUGGCUAAAGCGGUUCCUGGUACGGACACCAAGGCCCCCGUGCUCGGGCCCUACCCAGCCUGGUUCAGGCGGACUCCAGGCAGGAAGCGAGGGUCAGGGUCCUGGAAGAAAGCACUCUGUCCUUGAAUUAUUCACCCCUAAUUGAGUUAUCGUGACACCCUGUGGCUUUGGGAAACCUCUCCACAACCAAGUGGAGCCACAGCCCUCUGCUAAUGAGGGUAGAAGGUCGAAUUAGAUACACAUCAAAAGUGGCAGCCUGUCAUACUCGUCUUUCUCUUUCCUGGGAAAUUGCUGAUGGUUCAAGUAAAGACUCUGAAGCAGUCUCAGGGAUAUACUGCUUGGUAGUAAAAGUCAAGUCUUCAUCAUCUAGUUUACGGCAUGAAUCAACACACAGUUGUUUGAAAAUGCUGAAUGCAGAUUUGUCAGAACUCCCUGAAUCUUCUGCACUUGCUCCUCCUUCUCUCAAACUUGCAUUCUUUGAUGCUUCUGGAUUGUCAUUUUGAAGACCAUUUUCAAGUAUCUUUUUUUUUAUGUUGCAAAAUUUGUUGUUGAAUGCUAGUCAAAACACCACAAAUAGCAUAAUUGUUUGCUGUCUGUCCAUACAUAUCUUGAAUAAAGACAGUAAUAUUUUGUUGAAGAAUGCCAACUAUACCUAACGAGCCAUAAUGUACAGCAGGCGUGAAGGCUGUUCCUCUCAACCUAUCAACAGCAUGUGCAUUUGCUUGUUUCUUCACUAAAAAUUCCAGCAUUUGCUGUCUUUUGCAA
rnacentral:lncRNA from 1 species